rnacentral:rRNA from 1 species
UACGUAGGGUGCAAGCGUUAAUCGGAAUUACUGGGCGUAAAGCGUGCGCAGGCGGUUUUGUAAGUCUGUCGUGAAAUCCCCGGGCUCAACCUGGGAAUUGCGAUGGAGACUGCAAGGCUAGAAUCUGGCAGAGGGGGGGUAGAAUUCCACGUGUAGCAGUGAAAUGCGUAGAGAUGUGGAGGAACACCGAUGGCGAAGGCAGCCCCCUGGGUCAAGAUUGACGCUCAUGCACGAAAAGCGUGGGGGAGCAAACAGGG